AACACCUGGUUAAAUGACAUUGACUCAGUAGCUAGUCUAACAGUAUCCUCUACUGUCUUCAGUCCCAUUGACUCAGUAGCUAGUCUAGCAGUAUCCUCUACUGUCUUCAGUCCCAUUGACUCAGUAGCUAGUCUAACAGUAUCCUCUACUGUCUUCAGUCCCAUUGACUCAGUAGCUAGUCUAGCAGUAUCCUCUACUGUCUUCAGUCCCAUUGACUCAGUAGCUAGUCGUACUGUAUCCUCUACUGUCUUCAGUCCCAUUGACUCAGUAGCUAGUCUAACAGUAUCCUCUACUGUCUUCAGUCCCAUUGACUCAGUAGCUAGUCGUACUGUAUCCUCUACUGUCUUCAGUCCCAUUGACUCAGUAGCUAGUCUAGCAGUAUCCUCUACUGUCUUCAAUCCCAUUGACUCAGUAGCUAGUCUAACAGUAUCCUCUACUGUCUUCAGUCCCAUUGACUCAGUAGCUAGUCGAACUGUAUCCUCUACUGUCUUCAGUCCCAUUGACUCAGUAACUAGUCUAACAGUAUCCUCUACUGUCUUCAGUCCCAUUGACCCAGUAUCUAGUCUAACAGUAUCCUCUACUGUCUUCAGUCCCAUUGACUCAGUAGCUAGUCUAACAGUAUCCUCUACUGUCUUCAGUCCCAUUGACUCAGUAGCUAGUCUAACAGUAUCCUCUACUGUCUUCAGUCCCAUUGACUCAGUAGCUAGUCUAACAGUAUCCUCUACUGUCUUCAGUCCAAUUGACUCAGUAGCUAGUCUAACAGUAUCCUCUACUGUCUUCAGUCCCAUUGACUCAGUAGCUAGUCUAACAGUAUCCUCUACUGUCUUCAGUCCCAUUGACUCAGUAGCUAUUCUAGCAGUAUCCUCUACUGUCUUCAGUCCCAUUGACUCAGUAGCUAGUCUAACAGUAUCCUCUACUGUCUUCAGUCCCAUUGACUCAGUAGCUAGUCUAACAGUAUCCUCUACUGUCUUCAGUCCCAUUGACUCAGUAGCUAGUCUAACAGUAUCCUCUACUGUCUUCAGUCCAAUUGACUCAGUAGCUAGUCUAACAGUAUCCUCUACUGUCUUCAGUCCCAUUGACUCAGUAGCUAGUCUAACAGUAUCCUCUACUGUCUUCAGUCCCAUUGACUCAGUAGCUAGUCUAACAGUAUCCUCUACUGUCUUCAGUCCCAUUGACUCAGUAGCUAGUCUAACAGUAUCCUCUACUGUCUUCAGUCCCAUUGACUCAGUAGCUAGUCGAACAGUAUCCUCUACUGUCUUCAGGCCCAUUGACUCAGCAGCUAGUCUAACAGUAUCCUCUACUGUCUUCAGUCCCAUUGACUCAGUAGCUAGUCUAACAGUAUCCUCUACUGUCUUCAGUCCCAUUGACUCAGUAGCUAGUCUAACAGUAUCCUCUACUGUCUUCAGUCCCAUUGACUCAGUAGCUAGUCUAACAGUAUCCUCUACUGUCUUCAGGCCCAUUGACUCAGCAGCUAGUCUAACAGUAUCCUCUACUGUCUUCAGUCCCAUUGACUCAGUAGCUAGUCUAACAGUAUCCUCUACUGUCUUCAGUCCCAGCAGACUUUUCUGGAUGGCAGCUACAGUGACAUCACUCUGGAGGUGGACGUGCGGGCGUCACAGGUGCUAG
ensembl:lncRNA